rnacentral:pre_miRNA from 1 species
UCUUAUGGAUGAGCAAAGAAAGUGGCUUCUUGAGAUAGAAUCUACUCCUGGUGCUGUGAAGAUGCCGUGAA